CCUACGGGGGGCAGUAGUGGGGGAUAUUGCACAAUGGGGGGAACCCUGAUGCAGCGACGCCGCGUGGGUGAAGGAGCGUUUCGGCGCGUAAAGCCCUAUCGGCAGGGAAGUAGAUGACGGUACCUGACCAAGAAGCCACGGCUAACUACGUGCCAGCAGCCGCGGUAAUACGUAGGGGGCAAGCGUUAUCCGGAUUUACUGGGUGUAAAGGGGGCGUAGAGGGCAAAGCAAGUCAGGAGUGAAAGCCCGGGGCCCAACCCCGGGAUUGCACUUGGAACUGGAUGUCUGGAGUACAGGAGGGGCAGGCGGAAUUCCUAGUGUAGCGGUGAAAUGCGUAGAUAUUAGGAGGAACACCGGUGGCGAAGGCAGCCUGCUGGACUGUGACUGACGUUGAGGCCCGAAGGCGUGGGGAGCAAACAGGAUUAGAUACCCGAGUAGUC
rnacentral:rRNA from 1 species